GCUGAAUUUGUAACAACCACGCUCCAAAAAAUGCAUGGGAUCGGACUUUAUUAACACCCUUUAACUUGGGAAGUUUUACAAGCGUGCAAAGACGAGCAAACAAGAGGUUCAAAAACCGUACAAAUAUUACUGGCGGAUGAGUUAUCAAAAUAUAAAACAUUUCAAGAUUUGUUAAUUUUUACAUUUCCCACAUGUUCAAAAGUUUUGAUAAAAAUUAUUGCAUUUGUUGAGUUUACUCGACCUUCAUCAAAUAAUGAUGAUGAUUGACCACACUGGAAAGCUGAGUCCCCUCGGUUCCGGAAGUUGCACAAUGAAGGACGUCAUCCUUAAAAAGGCAAAGACAUUCUCCUACAAACACCCGACAUUGGAUCGCAUUGGUCCCGUUGCGUAUGGAGAUGACCCCGUCAAACGGUCAAUUUCCGACUUCUACCCAAACUUCGACAGGAACACGUCGCCCAAUUUAACUUGCCACGAAAUCCAGGAAGCCAUGAUGGCCAAUAUGCAAAAAGUGUUGAUGGGGUCGCACUCACGAUUUAAGCGGACCGCUCACAAUGAUUAUCAUCCAACAAAGAUGAAAUACCCCGAAGCUAGAAAAGGAAAUAAUUGACCAGCAAAUUGGUGGGGAACCCGGUAAGGAGGAAGUACACAGUGGAAAAUAUUUAAAAAUCAAGAGUACAUUAAAUAAUUUUAUGUCGAAAAUUUGACUAUCUGUUUGUACCAAGAUUUUACAACUUCAUUCUCCAAAUUUCAGAACUUACAAUAUAUAUACAUACAUAAGAUAUUAGUUUACAUAUUUUUAUAUAAAUUUUUGCAUAUUGUUUCAAACCGAUAUAGUGUGCAAUAUUUGCAUAUAGUGGGAUAUCUGAACUCUCCAUCCACCUAAAUAGUAUACUAGUGACUCUACCGCAGUGGGUAUGAAUUUGUCACCACCUGGAAAUAAAUUUAUUAGCUCUGGUGACAAUUUAAUACCAAGUCUGUGAAACUCUAUAAUUAUUCGGUGACAAUUGUAACCACUCGAUGACAAAUUUAUAACCACGGCGGUAGACUCACAUACGUUUACUUUUUGGCUAUAAUCGUAACCCCAUUUCUAAGAGUGUGAUUUCUGCUUUAUUCUGGAAAAAGGGGGAACAAAAUCACGGAAACUUCACCCGGCCCGUAAAAUAAACAAAAAAUCAAGAAAUCUUUGCUCAGAAUUGCUUCACUUAUAUAUAUAGGAUAGAAAAUACACUUUUAAAGCUUUCAGAAAUCAGAAAUUUUUGCUCUAUGUACAUAUUUCUCAAUUGGUAAAAAUUGCAUACACCAAAAGUUCCUAAAAGUGUGAAAUUUUUGUGAAGUGUUUUUUUAAACACAAUAGCAUAAGCCUUGUCUAACGCGUAGGUGGACAAUUUGUUUUGCAUUUAUUGGAUACAACCCUGUAUAAAUAUA